rnacentral:rRNA from 1 species
CCUACGGGUGGCAGCAGUGGGGGAUAUUGCACAAUGGGGGGAACCCUGAUGCAGCGACGCCGCGUGGGUGAAGAAGUGCUUCGUUGUGUAAAGCUCUAUCAGCAGGGAAGAAAAUGACGGUACCUGAGUAAGAAGCCCCGGCUAACUACGGUCCAGCAGCCGCGGUAAUACGUAGGGGGCAAGCGUUAUCCGGAUUUACUGGGUGUAAAGGGGGCGUAGACGGCAGUGCAAGUCUGGAGUGAAAGGCCGGGGCUCAACCCCCGGACUGCUCUUGAAACUGUAUGGCUGGAGUGCAGGAGAGGGAAGCGGAAUGCCUGGUGUAGCGGUGAAAUGCGUAGAGAUCAGGAGGAACACCAGUGGCGAAGGCGGCUUACUGGACUGGAACUGACGUUGAGGCCCGAAAGCGUGGGGAGCAAACAGGAUUAGAUACCCGAGUAGUC